rnacentral:rRNA from 1 species
GGGUGAGUAACGCGUAGGUAACCUGCCUGGUAGUGGGGGAUAACUAUUGGAAACGAUAGCUAAUACCGCAUAAUAACAGUUGUUGCAUGACAACUGUUUGAAAGGUGCAAUUGCAUCACUACCAGAUGGACCUGCGUUGUAUUAGCUAGUUGGUGGGGUAACGGCUCACCAAGGCGACGAUACAUAGCCGACCUGAGAGGGUGAUCGGCCACACUGGGACUGAGACACGGCCCAGACUCCUACGGGAGGCAGCACUAGGGAAUCUUCGGCAAUGGACGAAAGUCUGACCGAGCAACGCCGCGUGAGUGAAGAAGGUUUUCGGAUCGUAAAGCUCUGUUGUAAGAGAAGAACGAGUGUGAGAGUGGAAAGUUCACACUGUGACGGUAUCUUACCAGAAAGGGACGGCUAACUACGUGCCAGCAGCCGCGGUAAUACGUAGGUCCCGAGCGUUGUCCGGAUUUAUUGGGCGUAAAGCGAGCGCAGGCGGUUAGAUAAGUCUGAAGUUAAAGGCUGUGGCUUAACCAUAGUACGCUUUGGAAACUGUUUAACUUGAGUGCAAGAGGGGAGAGUGGAAUUCCAUGUGUAGCGGUGAAAUGCGUAGAUAUAUGGAGGAACACCGGUGGCGAAAGCGGCUCUCUGGCUUGUAACUGACGC